UAUGUUUCAGUUUGUGUUCCUCUGACCAAGAUUAACGUUUGAGUCUCCAAAACUUUCAUACGAGGAGCAAAUGUCCACGUAUAGGAUCAGCUCUGAAACCACAGACCCUGUUCAGGGAUUGUCCUUCUUUCUCCUUUCCAGAUGCUAAAACUCUUCAAAAGGGAAUGCCACUCUGGGUGCAAUCAAAGUGUGAAGAAGGGAUAUGGAUCAUGACAGGACAGUUAUUUAUUUUCUUCUAAACAAUGAGCAAAGUGACCUUAGUCUGCAUGUAAGAAUUUUGAGGGUGUGGGAAUUCACCUUCUCUAUAGGCAUAAAUAUAUCAAAAUUAUUCUUCUGAGGCCUGAUCUUCUCCAGUGAAGAUUUCUGACCUGUAAAAAUGCAUGUGUCUCUUUUAUGUUCAUAGCAAAAUUAGUAAGAAACUUGAAAAGAAAAUUAGGAAGUGCUACCAAAAGUGUUUCUGAAAGGUCCUUGGUCCGUCUCUCUUUUGUACUACACUUUAUUCCUCA
rnacentral:lncRNA from 1 species